rnacentral:lncRNA from 1 species
CUUUAGAAAGCUACUGAAGCUUUGAUAUGAUUUGGCUGUGUCCCCACCCAAAUCUCACCUUUAAUUGUAGCUCUCAUAAUCCCUAAGUGUCGUGGGAGGGACCUGGUGGGAGGAAAUUGAAUCAUGGGGAUGGGUUUUUCCCCAUGGUGUUCUCAUGAUAGUGAUUCUUAAAUAAUUAUCCAACAUCAAUAGCAACAAACAAAAGUCCCAGGUUCAAUUGUUCCAGCCCCUGUUGUUGAAUAGUUUAUCCUUACCCCAUUGAAUUGCCUUGGCACUUUUAUUGAAAAUCCAUGAACUAUAUAGGCUGGUUGCGGUGGCUCAUGUCUGUAAUCCCAACAUUUUUGGAGGCUGAGACAGGCAGAUCACUUGUGGCCAGGAGUUUGAGACCAGCCUAGUCAAAAUAACAAAACCCCCAUCUCUACUAAAAAUACAAAAAUUAGCC